CCCACACUGGCACUGAAACACGGGCCAGACUCCUACGGGAGGCAGCAGUGGGGAAUCUUGCACAAUGGGGGAAACCCUGAUGCAGCGACGCCGCGUGAGCGAUGAAGCCCUUCGGGGUGUAAAGCUCUUUCGGCAGGGAAGAUUAUGACGGUACCUGCAGAAGCAGCUGCGGCUAACUACGUGCCAGCAGCCGCGGUAAUACGUAGGCAGCGAGCGUUGUUCGGAGUUACUGGGCGUAAAGGGUGUGUAGGCGGUUGUUUAAGUUUGGUGUGAAAUCUCCCGGCUCAACUGGGAGGGUGCGCCGAAUACUGAAUAACUUGGAGUGCGGGAGAGGAAAGUGGAAUUCCUGGUGUAGCGGUGAAAUGCGUAGAUAUCAGGAGGAACACCGGUGGUGUAGACGGCUUUCUGGACCGUAACUGACGCUGAGACACGAAAGCGUGGGUAGCAAACAGGAUUAGAUACCCUGGUAGUCCACGCCCUAAACGAUGCAUAUUUGGUGUGGGCAGUUCAUUCUGUCCGUGCCGGAGCUAACGCGUUAAAUAUGCCGCCUGGGGAGUACAGUCGCAAGGCUGAAACUCAAAGGAAUUGACGGGGGCCCGCACAAGCGGUGGAGCAUGUGGUUCAAUUCGACACCACGCGAAGAACCUUACCAGGGCUCGAACGGCUGGUCAACGCCGGUGGAAACAUCGGUACCCCGCAAGGGGGUCCAGUCGAGGUGCUGCAUGGCUGUCGUCAGCUCGUGUCGUGAGAUGUUGGGUUAAGUCCCGCAACGAGCGCAACCCUUGUCCUGUGUUGCCAUACCGAAAGGUGGAACUCGCAGGAGACCGCCAGGGAUAACCUGGAGGAAGGUGGGGAUGACGUCAAGUCCUCAUGGCCUUUAUGUCCAGGGCUACACACGUGCUACAAUGGACGGUACAAAGCGCAGCGAACUCGCGAGAGGGAGCCAAUCGCAAAAAACCGUUCUCAGUUCGGAUUGCAGGCUGCAACUCGCCUGCAUGAAGCUGGAAUCGCUAGUAAUGGCAGAUCAGCACGCUGCCGUGAAUACGUUCCCGGGCCUUGUACACACCGCCCGUCACAUCACGAAAGUGGAUUGUACUAGAAGUCUGCACGCUGACCCGCAAGGGAGGCAGCGGCCCAAGGUAUGAUUCAUGAUUGGGGUGAAGUCGUAACAAGGUAGCCGUAGGAGAACCUGCGGCUG
rnacentral:rRNA from 1 species